UAUAUAUAUAUAUAUAUAUAUCAUAACUCUUUACACAUUUAUAAAUUUUUUUUGUUCUUUGUUUCUUUCCACUCCUCUUUUCAAUUAAGAAAAUUACAAACAUUUCUUAUAUGAUUUUAUUUUAAUUUUCCUCUUCUCCUUUUCCAGUCAAUAACUAAAACCUUCUAUUUUUGUUGUAUGUGCCACAACAUUCUUUUCAACCAGCAUAUUCUGGUUCCCCCUGUCUAGUUCCUUGUUCUAUUGUAUUUUUGUUUUUAAUUUGUUCUGUACUUCAUCUUUUGUAUUCUUGUAAUUUAGAUGGCGGAUACCAUUGAUUCUUCAGCCCAGUGGUAAGAAAAGCGACUUUGGAUGGAAAUAUAACUACUUGAACAAUCCUAAUGACUCAAACCUGAACGCAGAAAUGUUGGGCUGCAAAUUUAGCUUCAACACAUAGCUAUCUUUCACAACUUUUUUUCCUUUCUUAUCUGUUUAAAAUUUCUUGACUUGAUUAAAGAUGCUUGCCAGCAUUUUUUUCCUUACACAUGUUUAUGUUAUUCUUUUUAAUAAAUGUUUGAGAAAUUUUUGACUUCUUUUUGAACCUCAAUUCACUUGGACAAGUGGUUAUUUUGUGCCUUGCACCUUGGGUGAUGAAAGCACAUUGCCUUUUGUUUUUGACUACCUUGGCAUUACUAUAAAUAACUUUGUAAUGGAUUUUUCAUCUUUGCCUUUUAGUUCUUUUCUUUUGACAUGGAUACAAAAUGAAAACUUGCAUAAAAUUCUGUAUUCUUAUUUCUUUCCUUGCGCCAAUUGGCUUAAAUAGAACAUUUACAAGUUUUACAUAGAUACAAGUAUCCAUGUUGAACAACCUUCUCUUGAAGUGUGUCUAAGAUGAUUUCUGAUUGUGUUGUCAUUUUGAACCCUAUCAUUGAAUUUCAUUUACUUUUUGAACAGUGCAGCAAAAGAACUACAUGAAUUUUUGUCAGACAAUUGGGUCUAUCAUUACCCUUUGAUAUAUGAAACAUUUAUACUAUUCAGAGGGAUAAUCAUUCCCCUUUUGAAAAAAAUAGUCAAGUCUUUUUGCCAUAUGAUUGUAUCAUUUAUUGCUUGGACGUUGAUUGGCUUCAUUAUGAUCAUGGAAUUAUGUUCUCUUUGAAAUGAAGUUUCUUUUGAUUUAUGUUUCUAUACCCUUUCACAUCCGUAGACUGUGAUUACUCAAAUUAAUCAUGCCAUUGGAGCCUCUGGUAUUAUAAGCCAAGAAUGCAAGACAUUGGUUGCACAAUAUGGGAAAGUCAUA
rnacentral:misc_RNA from 1 species